rnacentral:tRNA from 1 species
GGCCUUGUAGCUCAGUGGGUAGAGCGGAUCCACAAUCAGGUGUCAGGUUUCCGGUUCGAGUCCGGCCAAGGCCA